rnacentral:lncRNA from 1 species
AAAUUAUAUUAAUUCAUCUAUAUUUAAGAUAUUUAAUUGUAUGUUUGGAAACAUAUAUUAGAUUAUGUAAUUCUAGGGUUAGUUUUCUUUUAAAAACUUUAAUUAAAUAAAGGGCAAAUCUCCAAAAUAGCAUAUUUCUAAGUUUAUGUCACAAAAAUAAUCCUCAAAAACUAAAACGACCAAAAUAACAUUUUAUCUUUUGAAAAAUUUAAAUUUUUUUUAUUUUUCAAAAUUUGAAAUCUUAUCCCAAAACUCCACUCCACAACUCUAAACCCUAAAACCUAAACUCUAAACCCUAAACCCUAAACUCUAAACCUUAAACCCUAAAUCCUAAACCCCACCCUUAACUCUAAACCCUAAACCCCACCCCUAAACUCUAAACCCUAAACCCUAAACCCCAAACCCUAAACCCUAAACCCUAAACUCUAAAUCAUAAAUCGUAAACCCCACCCCUUAACUCUAAACCCUAAUGUCUAAAUUAAUUUACCUUUGGGGUAUAAGUGUAUAUUUAUCUCUUUUGAUAAAACAUUAAGUGCUAUUUUGGUCAUUUUUAUUCUUAUAGGCUAUAUUUGUGACAAAAAAAAUUUUAGUGCUAUCCUAGUCAUUUUCUCUUAAAUAAAUAAGAAAACUAAAAACAAUCAACCAAUAUUUUUUUUAUUUUUUUGUCACAACAACCAAUCAAAUUAUAACAAUUAAUUGGAAAAUUCUCCUAUAAGCGACACAUCAGCAGAAAUCACUUAAUUGACUUCUCAAUUAAUAUAUAGGGGGAUAUAAUAGUAUUAUAUAUUAUGUUUAUGAUUUUAUAAUUUUGAAUAAUAAUCAUAACUAUUAAAAAUAAUAUUUUUAUUUUAAAUAGUUUGAAAAUCAAAAGUGUUGGUAUUGUAAGAUUAUUGAGAUAUAUUGUUAAUUCUUUAAAUUUUUUUAUAAGUUUCCAAAAAGUCUUUUAUGACAUAUUUCUUGAUCAAUAAGAAAAAAAGAUUAAUGAACAAAAUAAUUAUUUUAUAACACUUUCUAUUUUCUCAUUAUUUAGUCUACCACUUUUUUUAGAAAUAAAAUAGUUACAAAUAAUUAAUUAAUAGUUAAAGUAAUACGUAAAACACAUGUAUUUUGGAAAAAAAAUAAAAAAUUAAGUAUGUAGAAAUAUAAAAUAACAAAGAAUACAACCAAGAAUAUAACAAAUAGGUUUUAUUAUUCUUGACUGAUGUUUUAUAUAUGUAUCCUUUGUUAUUUUCCUAUUAAAAUAUAAGCAAGUCAAUUUUCUUAUUAUCAAAACUAUAUCAAUAGUCUUAACUCUACUCAUGUAUUAAUAUAGGAGAAAUUACAUGUUUACCAGUUUCAUGCUACCACUUUUCAUUUUUAUCACCACUAAUGAGAUAUUUUCAAAAAUACAUUCUUCAUUAAGUGGCAAAAAACUCUUAUGUCCUUGUUUUUAAUAUAUAUAAUAAAUAUACUAUUUCGAAAUUCAAAUCCUAAACCCUAAAAUUCAAAUAUAAACCCUAAACAAUCAAUCAUAAACCCUAUUUUUUUUAAAUACGAAUCCUAAACCCUAAACCAUCAAUCCUAAACCCUAUUAUUUUUGAAAUACGAACCCUAAAUCCUGAAACAUCAACUCUAAACCCUAAACCCCGAAACAUCAACUCUAAACCCUAAACCCUAAACCUUCGACUCUAAACCCUAAAACAUCAACUCUAAACCCUAAACCCUAAACUUCAAAUCUAAACCCUAAACAAUCAACACUAAACCCUAAACUAUCAACACUAAACCCUAAACUAUCAACACUAAACCCUAAACCCUAAACCCUAAAAGUAAAUUCUAAAUCCUAAACCCUAAAAAAUUAACCCUAAACCCUAAAACAUCAGCUCUAAACCAAAAACCUCAAACCUUCAGCUCUAAAUCCUAAACCCUAAAUCCUAAACCCUAAAUCCUAAACCCUAAACUCUAAA